AUGAUUAAAAACUCCGCAAUUCUCUCCUGCCACAGGCAGAGUGGACUCAAGGAACUGCUCUAUCUGAACUGUGUUGACGGGCAGGAGGAUGGCAGACAGGAAUUGAGAGUCACAGAGGAAGGACAGGGGAGUCUGGCAUCUCAUUGGGUGAAACCUGUAUAUGCUGUGAAAGUAAAAGAUUCUGUUUAUAUCAUAGAAACUAAAGAGCUCUUCAAGAAGACAUUUAUUAUAGCCAUGUCUUUUUUUACAUGUUACCUUUUCCAUGCUAUUUUUGUCUUCUUUCUUUGUUCUUUCUUUCUUUCUUUCUUUCUUUCUUUCUUUCUUUCUUUCUUUCUUUCUCUUACUUUCUAGAGAGAAAGACCACAAGUAGGGGAAGGGCAGAAGGAGAGAGGAAAAGAAUCUUAAGCAAACUACAUGCUCAUCGCAGCCUGAUGCAGGGCUUGAUCCCCGAACUGCGAGAUCAUGACCUGAGCCAAAAUCAAGAGUUCCAUGGUUAACUGACUGAGCCAUCCAAGUGCCCCUAUUUUAUUUUUUAAUUUGAGCAUAGUUGACAUACAAUGUUAUUUUAGUUCCACGUAUAGAACCUAGUGAUUCAACAACUCUAUACAUAGCCUAACUCUUGUGGUUAGGCUAUGCUUACCACAAGAAUAGCUAGCAUCUGUCACCAUGCAACCUAUUGCAAUACCAUUGACUGUGUUUUCUGCUGUACCUUUUAUUCCCAUGAUUUACUCAUUCCAUAACUGGAAGCCUGUAUCUCCCACUCUCCUUCACUCAUUUUGCCCACCCCUCCAUCCCCUCCCCUCAACAACCAUCAGUUUGUUCUCUGUAUUUAUAAAUUCAGUUCUGCUUUCUGUUUGCUUGUGUAUUGUUUUCUUUUUAAAUGCCAUUUAAAUGUAAAAAUUGUGUCAAUUUCUAUGUUUUAAAAGUUACUUUUUUUCAAUCCUAGUGUUUCCCUUUGCUUUUAUAAUUAGGUUUCCAACUUAGAAUUUGUUGCUUGUAUUUUUCCUGUUUAGUCUCUGUAUUUUUUUAACACUAUAUUCCAUUUACUCUACUUUGACAUUUAGCAUGAGAUAGGGAUAUAUCCUUUUAUUUUCUCUAGAAAUUUCAAAAUUUACUACAUAAUGCAUUUCAUGAACCAGGAACUUUAUUAUUUACAUCUUCAUUUUCAAUACUUUUAAUGAUGGCUGACACAUAAUAGACGCUCAAAAAUAUUUUCUGACUAAAUGUUUAUAGAUUGGGAGAGGAUAAGAUAUUUAUUAAGAAAAUACAGUAAUUAUGAAUUAUCUGUUUUUAUAUUAAUCAGAGAUUUUCAAUAUUCUUUGUAUCAUAGGGUCAUGCAGAUCUAAGACAUCUUAUUUUGCUUUACUGUCAUCAUUUUCAAAUCUAAACACAUCCAGUUUCACUCCAGCAUUAUAACUUUUGUUGCAUUUUACUUUUGUUGCCUAGUUACCUCUUUUGACUGACGAAUUUUGUAAAAUGUCAUGUGAGUUUAUUGUUGGUAAAGAGCCAAAACAGCUACACAUUUUGCUGUCUGUAUAUGAGCUAAUUAAGUAUGCAAUAACCACUGGCAGAAUUUGAAAGAAGUGACGUGAUUGGCCGCUAAACAUGAUGUCUAUUUGUGAUUUGUGGACUGAAAUGCUAGCAACAAAGGUUGCACUUUAUGCAAUGCCUACAGUUAAGAUACCAUGGUAAAUGAUGUUUGAACCAUAUUGUUGUGGGGAUGAUAUUAUUAAAUUAAAAAAAUCUAACAAGUGAAAUAUUUUAAAGUUGGUAGCAGGCAAUGUGCAAAUGCAUGUCCUUUUAAGUCCAAAUGUUGAAAAUAAUGUUCAGGAAUAGAGAAGUAUAUUAUUUGAACAGAGUGAAGACGUUAAUACAUAUGUACAUAAAUUAAAAUUGGGUUUGCAAAUAAAGGGGCAUUUUAAAUCA
ensembl:lncRNA